UGCUGUGGUGCGACUUCACGGAAGGGCCGUAUUUAUUAGAUAACAGCCAAUAAGACUCGCGUCUAUUGUGGUGACUCAUAGUAACUGAUCGGAUCGCAUGGGCCUGUCCCGCGACAAACCAUUCAAGUUUCUGCCCCAUCAGCUUUCGAUGGUAGUGUAUUGGACUACCAUGGCUUUUACGGGUAACGGAGGAUUAGGGUUCGAUUCCGGAGAGGGAGCCUGAGAAACGGCUACCACAUCCAAGGAAGGCAGCAGGCGCGUAAAUUACCCAAUCCUGACUCAGGGAGGUAGUGACAAGAAAUAACGGG
rnacentral:rRNA from 1 species